rnacentral:rRNA from 1 species
GACGAACGCUGGCGGCGUGCCUAAUACAUGCAAGUCGAGCGGACAGAAGGGAGCUUGCUCCCGGAAGUCAGCGGCGGACGGGUGAGUAACACGUGGGCAACCUGCCUGUAAGACUGGGAUAACUUCGGGAAACCGGAGCUAAUACCGGAUAGGUUCUUCCUCCGCAUGGGGGAAGAUGGAAAGACGGUUUCGGCUGUCACUUACAGAUGGGCCCGCGGGGCAUUAGCUAGUUGGUGGGGUAAUGGCCCACCAAGGCGACGAUGCGUAGCCGACCUGAGAGGGGAAUCGGCCACACUGGGACUGAGACACGGCCCAGACUCCUACGGGAGGCAGCAGUAGGGAAUCUUCCGCAAUGGACGAAAGUCUGACGGAGCAACGCCGCGUGAGCGAAGAAGGCCUUCGGGUCGUAAAGCUCUGUUGUUAGGGAAGAACAAGUGCCAGAGUAACUGCUGGCACCUUGACGGUACCUGACCAGAAAGCCACGGCUAACUACGUGCCAGCCGCCGCAGUAA